rnacentral:tRNA from 1 species
UGCCCGGUGGUGUAACGGUAGCACGCUUGACUCUGGAUCAAGUAGUCGGGGUUCGAAUCCCUGCCGGGCAA